CGGGGGGUUUGGGGUACAAAAGGGGCUCUGGGCAGGUGACAGGGCCAGCUUGGGGACAAUGGGGGGUCACAGGGGACACAGGGGGCGGGCGCAGGGGGUGACACACCCAGGCACACAGGUGACACACAGAGGGACACAGGACUGCAGGGACACAGCCCGGUUUAUUGCCAUGGUGACACCCCAAAACUCACAGCCUCAGUGUCCCCAGGACUGGUCACUGCGGGGUCACCCCAAUGUCCCCAGGACUGGUCACUGCAGGGUCACCCCAAUGUCCCCAGGACUGGUCAGUGUGGGGUCACCCCAGUGUCCCCAGGACUGGUCACUGUGGGGUCACCCCAAUGUCCCCAGGACUGGUCACUGUGGGGUCACCCCAGUGUCCCCCCAGGACUGGUCACUGCGGGGUCACCCCAGUGUCCCCCCAGGACUGGUCACUGCGGGGUCACCCAAUGUCCCCAGGACUGGUCAGUGUGGGGUCACCCCAGUGUCCCCAGGACUGGUCACUGCAGUGACGUGAUGCUGCAGCUCCCAGGGGUCAGUUGGUCACCACAGGGGUCACUUGGCCAUGGCAGUGUCCCCACGGUGUCCCUGUGGUCACUGUGCCAUGGCAAUCCCUGUUCCACAGCCACGUCCCCACGGUGGUCACUAUGGUCAGUCACUGUGCCAUGGUGGUGUCCUGGUGUCCCCAUGGUGGUCACUAUGGUCACUGUGCCAUGGUGGUGUCCUGGUGUCCCCACGGUGGUCACUGUGCCAUGGUGGUGUCCUGGUGUCCCCACAGUGGUCACUGUGGUCAGUCACUGCUCCAUGGUGGUGUCCUGGUGUCCCCACGGUGGUCACUGUGCCAUGGUGGUGUCCCCACAGUGGUCACUGCUCUGUGGCAAUGUCCCCUCAGUGUCCCAGUGGUCAGUCACCGUGCCAUGGUAGUGCCUCUGCUGGUCACUCUGUUCACUGACCCAUGGCAAUGUCCCCGUGCUGGUCAGCGCUCCAUGGCCGUGUCCUGGGGCGGUCACUGUGGUCACUCAGCGCUCCAUGGCAGCACCCUGGGGUGGUCACUGUGGUCACUCAGCGCUCCAUGGCCGUGUCCCAGGGCGGUCACUCAGCGCUCCAUGGCCGUGUCCCGGGGCGGUCACUGUGGUCACUCAGCGCUCCAUGGCCGUACCCUGGGGUGGUCACUGUGGUCACUCAGCGCUCCAUGGCCGUGUCCUGGGGUGGUCACUGUGGUCACUCAGUGCUCCAUGGCCGUGUCCUGGGGUGGUCACUGUGGUCACUCCAGCUCCAUGGCCGUGUCCCGGGGUGGUCACUGUGGUCACUCAGUGCUCCAUGGCAGCGCCCUGGGGUGGUCACUGUGGUCACUCCGUGCUCCAUGGCUGUGUCCCGGGGUGGUCACUGUGGUCACUCAGUGCUCCAUGGCCGUGUCCUGGGGUGGUCACUGUGGUCACUCCGUGCUCCAUGGCCGUGUCCCGGGGUGGUCACUGUGGUCACUCCGUGCUCCAUGGCCAUGUCCCGGGGUGGUCACUGUGGUCACUCAGUGCUCCAUGGCCGUGUCCUGGCGCAGCCUGGCCCUCACCACGCCGUCCAGCACGGCGUGCAGCCCCCGGCAGGCGGCCUGGGCAGCGUCCAGCACGGGCCGCAGCCGCUCCUGGUGCAGGCGGGCGCUGAGCUGGCACAGGGCCAGCUGCCCGCUGCCCGCCACCGUGGCCACGGCCAGCCUGGGGCCGCCGGCCGCCUCCUCGGCCGCGCUCAGGUCACUCAGGGCCACCGGGGGCCCGGCCGGG
rnacentral:lncRNA from 1 species